rnacentral:lncRNA from 1 species
CCCUAGACAAGUUGUCUUAUUUGAAUAGUCUCUUGCAUAAAUCAUUUUGGUCAUUGCACUGCCUCUCUAGGACUGUCACUGUCCUACAUUAACAAGUCUACAGUACCUCAAAAACAAUUGCUCCUUGAUCCUCCACAAAUGUCACUCAUAAUCUUCAGAAAAUGUACCCUUUAUUUUAUCCAUCUAGUUCAGCCAGAGAUCGACCUGAACAUUCUCAUGUCUAUUACAUUUCUCUCAUGCUUAUUAGCUCUCUACACUGCCUAAUAUGAUCCACAUUGGUAAAGAUCAUAAUAUAGUUAUGUACAACAUUCCAUAAUAGGCUAUACAAUGAUUAAAGCUUUUUCCAGGGAAUAUAAAUUAUAAAACACUUCUUUUUAUAAUUUAAAAGGGAUAACAUAGCCAUUAUAGGGUUGUUGGAACCUAUUGUUUCAAAAUACCAUGCAAUAACAGCCUGACAUGAACCAGACAAUAACAAUUGCUCCUUGAUCCUCCACAAAUGUCACUCAUAAUCUUCAGAAAAUGUACCCUUUAUUUUAUCCAUCUAGUUCAGCCAGAGAUCGACCUGAACAUUCUCAUGUCUAUUACAUUUCUCUCAUGCUUAUUAGCUCUCUACACUGCCUAAUAUGAUCCACAUUGGUAAAGAUCAUAAUAUAGUUAUGUACAACAUUCCAUAAUAGGCUACACAAUGGUCACAUGAUGAUUAAAGCUUUUUCCAGGGAAUAUAAAUUAUAAAACACUUCUUUUUAUAAUUUAAAAGGGAUAACAUAGCCA